rnacentral:lncRNA from 1 species
UUUAUUCCCCCAAAUAGAUGUCAGAUCCAUCCUCGAAAGCUCGAACCAUUCUCUGUAUCCCAACCAUCUCCGAUCCAUCCUCUCCCACCGGCCAUUGUCACUGAUCCAUCUUCUGAUUUAUCGUUUCUCGUUUCUCGUUUCUCUUCAAAGGAUUCAGUCGUCUCUUCACUCGCCAGUCGCCGACUCCAAAAAUUUCUGAGGUAAUUUUUCUACCAAUUGGGCUCGGAUGGUAUAUAAACUGAGUUUAUUUUGAACUUUGGUCAAUGAAUUUAUCUCUACUUAUGUGGAUUUGUCUAUAUAUGGGUGUUUACUGUUUAGGGCUUUAUUUUUAUUUUUUAGUUGUGCUUGAUGAUUUUAUUUUGAUAUGAUAUCUUUUUCUUCGUUCCUUCGUUGCCAUUUUUUUCCCAGACCAAACUUUCAAUUUUCUCGGCUUCUUGUAGGCCUGGUAACAGUAGUGAUACUUAUAAAUUUGAAUUGAAGUGUAAGAUUAAUUGAUGAUGUGGUGCUGUAGCAAACUCAAUAACAAACGAACAGAAAAAGGAUUCAAAUUGAAACUUUGGAUCAAUAUUUUCUUGAGGUUUACUUAGCUCCAAUGCAUAUUAAAAGUAAUAGAUCAUUCUAGGCUUAUGCAGAGAAUUGCAUUAAUUUUAUAUACAUUGUUCUCUGGAAGGCACUCCUUCAGAUUAUGAAGUGAAUAGACCCAUUACUAUCAACUUUAUUAGGAGAACUAUGAGUAAGAAAGUGCAUUAUUUUCAAUGCUACCCCCCUUGUUUUAUAAAUCCAAUGAGCUGGCGAAGGGUUUGUUUGGUUAGUAGCGUUUGCGGUAUUUAGAGUCCAAACACACAACAUCAUUUUUGGUCCGGUGCAUUUGAGUAUUAAACAACGCGUUUGUAAGUUAAAUAAGGUGUUUGUAGAUUAACAAUAUUUUUAAGUGUGUUUGGACUUUCAAACUCUCUAAACACACUAAACAUUUCAAACAUCGUUUAACUAAACCCUCUAAACACACUAAAUGUUCCAAACAUCGUGUAACUAAACAUACGCUAACAUUGGUCUUGUGACUUGCAAUGCUGCAGUAUUAUUCUUUUUCUCCUAUUUUUACCUAAUAAUAAUUCUACCUUUCAUAUGCUUCUUGGAUAAAAUGAUACUGGAAGGCAAUAUGUUUAGUUUUUCAUGGCUCGUUAGAUUAUUUUUUUUUUAACAUUUUUUUUCUCUGGCGUAUCAAUGUUUGUUGCUUAAAAGAAAUAUCCAUUUAUUUUGCUUCUUACCUACAUCUUUAAGCAAUGUCCUUAAUCACAUAGCUUGAUAAAUUGCCUCAACAUAUUUAAUUGAACAUAGGUAUUGUGCAGGUACCUUUUGUUCCUUCUUUAUAAUCAGAAGUGCUCUUUAUGUCAUCAACAAUUUCAGCCCAAUCACUAUUGGAAUAAGCAAUUAAAUCUUAAGUUUCUACUAAUUUAGAGUACAUGAUCUCAUAAUCAAGUGUCCCUAGUAUUUCAACUUUCUUUAGCAACUCUACAGUGGACAAUUUCUUUUUGUUUCUUUUUGUCCCAAAAAAAUGGUUAUGUUUCUUUUUGUGAUGUGUGCUUUUAUGUGACACUUUAUGAUUAUCUAUGCUUAUUAUUUGUUUUUAUAGAUGGCUGAUUUAUCCACCUCUAAAAUAAGGACUGAAUUUGAAGAGCAAAAGGGAGUUGUGAGUGAAUUACAUGAGCGACUUGGGGAUGUAGAAUAUCAAAUUAAUGAGGGAGAAAAGUUGAGGAAGAUUAACAUGCGUCCAAAUUGAACUUGAAAAUCCACGGUUAAAAUUUUUUGCUCCCUUCAAGUUACAUGUGAUGUCCCUUUCAUCCACGAGGUUUCAAUUUCCAAAGACAUAUCGCGUGUAAACUUGAACAGCAGAAAAGUUAUUUUAUCAAAAUUUAGUAAUCUUUAGUUUCAUUGUCAUCAAUGAAGUACUUAAAAUUGUCCAGUUUUGCAUAAUAAUGGCAUUUUAUAAGCAAUUUUUUUACACUGUUAACAACUUUCAAUUACUUGUUGUUCACUGGGUCAUUAUUCUGUACUAAAGUAAUUAUGGAGUACUGUAUUCAUUUGAGGAUUCAGGCCAGAUAUCCAGCCUAACUUUGUUUUGAGUUUUCAAUUUUAUUUCAAGGCUAGACGUCCAAGUUUGUGUAACCUGCCGUUCCAUUCAGAAUUGAAAUGAUUUUCUAAAUUUGGUCAAAAUUUCCUUUGAAGUAUUACUUCUAAAUUACUUAACACAUAUGUAAUUGCAUGAUGCACUUACUCCUAGUCAAGCAGAUUGUGAAGUUCAGUUCAGAUAUUUCCUUUUUGGUGCUUGUUUUUCUUCCAAUACUAACGGUGCACAAGCCUCUCAUGUUUGUAACAUUUGUUAAAUGUAAAAAUUUUGGAAGAUCGUGAGAUGUAACGAAAAUGAGCCUCUUAAAAAAGGAGUUUGAUCAUAUUUUGUAAAAUUAUGUGAAAAAUAUUCUUGUUGUUGUGCUGGAAAUAUGUUGUAUUUAUUUAGCAAAAAAAAUGUAGUAUUUAACUCUCUUGUGUGAACAAUAAUACAAUAUCCUUUCUAUACAAAUUUUUAUGUCUUGUUUUUUUUGCAACUCAUGUCAAAUUUACGUCAUUAUUACAGUACUUCUCCAACAUCUAGUAUUCAUUAUGGUGUGUCCCUAACAUCAUCUUUAUAUUUAAGGAAGUGAAGUUGGAUAUUUCCUCCUCAACGUUAAGGAGCUGCUAAUCUUGAACCAGCUCUAAAUAAGGCAAUCUUUUCUUAAACUGCAUCACUUUCAGUUGCUUUAUUCUCUCAAUGCUAUGAGACAGAUUAUUUCUUACUUUUCAGUUUUUCCUAAAAUUAUAUUUAUACAACCCAUACAUACCAUGCUGUUUCUAACACUAAAAAAAAACAUUCGUCUCAAACUCAACUUCAUAGUGGCUUUGCUUCCAAAAAAGCCACAAAUUAUAAUUAAAUCUUCGCAGCUUUCCUUUUUAUUCCCUUCUCACUUCUUAUCAUCAUCUGCUGUGUGAUGCUCCCAAAAUAGGUAUACAUCACCCAUCUUGGGUCGCCAAAUACAUGGUAUUGAAUACAAAUACAAACUUAAUUAUACAACAUGAGCUGAGAGUUUUUACACGAAUAUUGUCAUCUAGACAAUAUCCAAACUCAAAUAGAGUCCUCAUUAUAUAUAUUGGCACACUAUUUUAUAGAAUAGUGAGGACUACUAUAACACCAUCUCGGGCCAUCACUCCGUUCCUCGACUAGUUCCGGCUACGUUCUCAUUUCCUGAAGAGAACAAUGGAAGUAAAAGGGUGAGCUCAACUAGCCCAGUAAGAAAUAUUAUGACUAAGAUAAUGCAGAAUAAGUUAUCAUUAGCCUUCAACAAUGUUAAACUAAUAGAAUAUAAUAGACAACAAGUUUAACUGCAGCGGAACAAGCAAUCCAUUAGAAGAGUCAAGUAGAGCAUGAUAUCUACUAUCUUCUAUGAUUUAAAAAGUUUAUCAUUAUCUUUAUUGCUGGGACUUAGCUUAAUAAAUAGAUCACAUCAUCGAAUCAUCCCUGCACUACGGGCCAAGGAUAUUCAUUAGUAUCACGCCCACAAAUUAUUCUUGCACUACGGGCCAAGAAUUAUUCGUGUAAUCAUUAAUGGUCAUGACUAUACCGAAUUAUUCCUGGUCAUAAUCAUACCAAUCAAUAGUCCAUCUAUGCACGUAAGUCAAAGAUGACUUUCAUCAUAAUAUAAGCAUGAGGAUGAUGACAAUGAUAUAAGAAUUCAAUUAAAAGAAAGCAAAGGAUAAAUUUUUAAAUAUUUAUAAUUUAAUUUAUCCAAAAUUUAAUAAUGUCCAAAUUUUUAACAUGAUACUGCUUUGUAGAGUAAAAUUCAAGAAUAAUAUCCUUGUAUCAAAAAUAAUUUGGACAGAAAAGAAAUAAAUUUUUCAGUGAAUAGUACUUCGGGAAUAGUACCCCGUGAAUAGUAACCCGACAUGAAAAGUGCCCCAAAUAUCCGACUAAACAAUAUUUGAGUGAAUAGUAAUCGGGUGAAUAGUAACCCGUGAAUAGUAAUUCGUGAAUAGUACCCCGACAUGAAAAGUGCCCCGAAUACCCGAGUGAAUAAUAUUAUAGUGAAUAGUAAUCGGGUGAAUAGUAAUCCGUGAAUAGUACCUUAUGAAUAGUACUUCGGGUGAAAAUAUUGAUAUUUAAUACGAAAGUUCAUAUCAAUAUCCCAAUAAAAUUAUACUGGAUGAAGCGCAAAAAUCAAGGAUAUUCCACUAAUUUCAAGGAUUAUAGAAGCAAUACUUACCAUAGUAAGUUUAGAUUUAAGAAUAUGAAAAGAAUUAACAUACGAAAACUACAAAUGGAUUUUCUCCUGUCAUACGGUACGUAAUCCGCGUAGACAGGUUAUUCCGACAUACUAAAGGAUGAAUACGAAAAAUAGUAUUCCUUAUUAAUACGAAAUAAAUAAUACCCCUUACCUUAGUAGAAAGUUGGAUACUGCUAAAGUGAAGUAGUAGAAUACUCUUCUUCUUGCUCUUUAUAGUUUCUCUAUAGUGUCUCUUGUGAAUCUCAGUGAAUUGGUGAGAAUGAAAGAAGAAUUAAGCUUCUAUUUAUAGGAGAAUGGACUAAAUAGUAACUAAUUCAUGAACGGUCCAGAUUGAUUCACUAUUAGAACGGACGGUCCAUAUUGAUUACUAUUAAAAUCACAACCGACGGUCCAGAUUGAUUUACUUUUAAAACCACCACCGACGGUCCAGAUUGAUUUACUUUUAAAACCACCAUCAAUGGUCCAGAUUUAUUUACUAUUAAAACCACCACCAAUGGUCCAUAUUGAUUUAACUUAUUACACUUUGGUACCCCUAAAGUUUUCCAAGUUUGCAUUAUUUUCCUCUAACUUUUGUAAUUCACUCAUCUUCAAUAAACACAUUCUUAAUACUUCGAUAAUUAUUCAUCAUUAAUAUUAUAACUCAUAAUAUUUAACAGUCAGAUCGUUCCCAAGAAAGAGGGGGCUUUCCAAUAAGGAUUUCUCCCUAUUGACGCGCAAUUAGGUGACCAAACCUCUUCUCGACAGAACUUUCUAGACAUUGUCAUUAUUGCAAAUAAUAAUAUGAAUAACUUUGUUGUCACAAUUAUUGAUUUAAUAAUAUAAAAUAUUAUGCAGAUGAUAAUAUGACAAUAAUUAAAUCAAAUAACGUGAAAUAUUAUGCAACAAUUACUGUAGCAAUAAUUGAGUAUAAAUGAGUGCUUCUCACGUAAGCAUCAAUAAUCAAUACCAUGUGCUACUAUGCAACCACGCGUAUUACUGUACUUUUACCACCGGGUAGUUCAACAGUUUAACGGUAAAACUUUCGUUAUUUUUAUAAAAAGAUAUUUUUGUCGUUUUCUAACUACGACAAUACUUUUGUUGUGGGGUCUACCAAUGAUUGUACCGUCGUACGAAUAUUUUCUGUUAAAAUGAAUAUUCCUCGACCAAUCGAAUAUUCACUAACACAACGAAUAUUUUAUAUCAACUUGCUUACUUUGCAAAAUUUUUCAAAUAUUAUCCACAACUAUAACAUUAUAUCAUAUCCACACCAUAAUAUUCAAAAAUAUAUUUCGAGAAAAAUUAUUUUUUAUUCGAAAAAAUUGGGGUCUUACAUGCUGAACAUAAGAACUUCUCUAAAAUAAUGCAAAUAUCACCAAUCUGCAAAUCACCAGACUAUUGUUUAAUCUAUUGUAAAUCUCCAGACUAUUGUUUAAUCUAUUGGAUUUCAUAUUAUGAAAUCUGCUUUUCUAGACGGUUUGGAAGACCAUGGUUGUUGAAUGUGACUGAAUUCUGACUUGAGGUCAACAUAUAAUAAUAAUCUACAAGUCUUGUAACAGAAAAUAUGUUUACCACUAUGCUUACUGAAAUUAAUUCAUGAAAUGGCCGAUUAAGAUUCCAAUUUUAUCUUGUAACAGAGCAAUCAUAUAGUCGCACUGAAGGUUCUUUUUCUAUUUGGAUUUGUAGCAAAUGUUAUUGUGAUUGCCUAUUUGUCUUUUUCUUCUUAUGAGCAAUACGAUGUACAUUAGUACCACAUAACAACUCUAUUGUCUUUGUGUAUUGAUUUUGGCACUAAGUGCCUCUGGUGACCUAUUUGCUUCAUUUUCCUGACUUGCUAUUAUUUUUAAAUAUGUGCAAAGACUGCUUCUACGACUUGCCUUACAAUACUGGGUAUCAAAUUUUCGUGCUACGUUUACGGAAGAUAAGGGACGAAAUUUUGAAGUGUACUCUCUCUAUAUAUGUAGAUAUAUACUUUGAUUGAAGAACUGUGGUAGCUUUAGAUGGUUAAUUGUAAAGAUAAUGAAUGAAUAUGUAGUGGAUGAUUUUAUUAAGUUAAUAGUAUUUUAGUUUUUUGUAUUUUUGCCAUUAUUUGUUAUGGGGACAUUGAGAUAGCCAGGUACACAAAAAGAAUGUUAAAUUUUGAUUUGGCAACAAUAUAAUUCGUUACCAAAGCAUUGAACAAGUUUACAUUUAGAAACAAACUUUCGUUGCUAAUGGCAUUAAAAAUUUUAUAUUUGGCAACGAAAAAUUAACCUAAUAACAACGGAGAGGAUAUUGUUGCUAAUAUUAAAAUAAAAGGUAACAUUUUUUAUCGUUGCAAAUCAUAUUAAUUUUUGUUGCACAUAUAAAGAAACGACAACAUAUAAUGUCGUUGUUAAUUGACGACUUUCGUCGCUAUUGAAAAAUAACCAACAACAAACAUUUUCGUUGCUGAUUCAGCAUAAUGUUUUUGCCAAAUAAUAUAAUCAGCAACGAAAAUAGUUGUCAAAAAUUUACAUUCUGCAACAAAAGUAAGCUUAGGCAACAAUUUUCAUAAUUUACUGCAACGAAAAAUGUCGUUGCAAAAUGGUGUCAAUUGCAAUGAAAAUGCAUGGUCGUUGCAAAAAAAAAAAGAGUUCAUUUCAUUGCCAAUUAGCAGGCUUUUGCAAUGAAAUGGGCUUUUUAGCAACGCAAUUUUAAUUAUUCUGCAACAAUACAUUUUGUUGCUAAAGGAUCGAUGUCUCUGUACGAAAGCCAAAUUUUAUUGCAAAAUAUAUUACUUUUGGCAACGAAAAAAAUACUUUCGUUGCGGAACAAUUAACAAUGCUCAUUGCGCAACCAAAGACGCAACGACAGUAAAGUCGUUGCCAAAACCCUUUUGCAACGAAAAUUGGCACCUUUAGCAACGAAAAUCGGUUGUUGCUGAAGUCCCAUUUUUUGUAGUGCCAGCAGUACAAACUGGCGCAGCUGCGCCAGUGGUCAGUUGGAGAAAACUAAUUUUUCCACUUUGAAAAUUAAAUGGAACAAUUAUGUGAUAUGUGUGACAUUGAUAAACCAUGAAACAAAGCACGUUAUGUUCGACGAAGGAAUUAUUAAGUAAGCCAUUAAUUAAUAUUAAUUGAUUGUGGUGGAAUAUGGAUUACUUGGUAAUUAACUAAUAAUAUGUGAUUUCUAUUAUUUGCAAUAUGUCUUUAAAUAUAACAAGAAUUAUAUAGAUAAUUGAUGGUUAUGGAGAUCUAUAAAUACAUUAAUCAAGGAAGUAGAUGAUUUAUUAUUUGACAUAAAUAAGUAAGUUAUUAAUAUAAUAAUAUUAUAUUAACGGCUAUGUGCAUGUGAUCAAAUAAUACAACUAUACUAUAUAGUGUAGUGUGACAUUUGUGUGACUAUAUAUUAAGUUUUAUGAAACUAUAUUAUAUUAAGUGGUAAUUAAUCAAGGGAAGGAAUAAAUUUAUUUAUUUAACAUAAAUAAAUAAGUUAUUAAUAUAAUAAGGUUAUAAUAUGGUUAUAUGAGUGGUAGGGAUAAUUAUGGAACUAUUCGGACAAUAAUAUGUGACUGCAUUAUUUUAUUACAUGUAAUUGAUGUACAUGAACUAUAUGAUAUGAGUAUAUAAAUAACACUAAUUUCUCCUAAUAUGGUAACAUUUGGACAUUAAAACCAUUUUUGGUUAACCAAGUAACUAAAUGAAAUGGAGCUAAGUUAUUGCUGAGACUUCAUUUUGUCCCAUAAUUAGUGUCACCAAGUACAAUGAAUAGUAGCUCAAAGCUAAAUUAUGUAUUCUUCCAAAAGGCUGGAGUUAAGUGAUAAUGGCUGAGCUUGAGGGUGGUUGGCCAACCGUUGAGUAACCAUUAUUUCAUUGCAUUGCACCAUGAGUUCAAGUUUUGUGUAAUUCCAAUGUCCAGUCCAAAACUCUUCUAUAAAUAGCAGUCAUGUUGAUCAAUUGGUGUUGCUUGGAGUUGUCUGAUAUUUGCUAAGUAAGAGUUCAAAGCAUACAAGCAUUCUUAGAGCUUAAGAGUUCAUUGGAGCAAGUUCCUUUCACAUUUGCAGAGGUAUAACUCCUCUUCCUUGCUUUUAUUUUCAGUUUCUGUAAACAGAGUUCUUGAACUCUUAAAAUUCAAAUUCUUGAAUUCAUGGAAUUGGAUGUUAAUAAAGUUGGGUAUUGGUUAUAAAGUUGUUAUAUGGCCAUAUAAGUAUGUUUGAACUGAUACAUGAUUGUUUGGAAUCGAAUUGGUGAAUAAUUUUUGAGGUUGGGCUAACUUUCUGCCGAAGCAGACUGCUUCUGCACCUGAAACUGGCACGGCGCAGCUGCGCCAUAAUUGUACUGAGGCGCAGCGCAGCUGCGCCGGUCUCUGGUUUUAGUUGAAGCUUCUGUUUUAUAACCAGCUAAAUGUUAGUCUAUUGUUAUGACAUGUAAUAGCAUGCAAAUAUGGUAAGGGGCAUAUAUAAGUAUAUUGACUUGAUGUGAGCAUGUGUUAAUAGAUUAGCAUUCAUGAAUAAUGAGAGUAUGUAGUUGAAAUGAAAUUAGAACUUUGAAAACAAACUAUGUUAGAGAUCAUGUUCUGCAAAUUGUGAACCUAGUAAGCUAUACAUGACUGAUUUUACACAUAGAUGAGCAUGUUAUAGUAUACAUAGUUCCUUUGAGCAUGACCAAACUUAUUAAGCCUUGUGUUAGAAAUGUUUUCAAGAAAAAGCUUAGCCUAGUGAGCUAACGUGCAUGAUUACUUCAUAGUUUAUAUUCUGACUUUGCAAGCGUGUUAGUAUGACUUAGAAAUGCAUGAAUAAACCUUUAGCUUGUGUUUAUAUGAUUAGCAAGGAAACAUGAAUAUGUUGAACAAAUUAGUACACUUUACAAAUGAAAAUAUGACCUUUGAAUAUGAAUAUUGUCAAAACUACCUUGAGGGUUAGAAACUGAUAAUUGUGAUCAUGUUUGAUGAUGCUCUUAGACUCACUCAUGUAGCAUAAACAUAUAUACACCAUGCUUGUGUAUCAUAUUUCAAAUAAAGCAUGAACGAAGCAUAUUUUCAACUAAAGCGGUGUUAGUUUCAUAUAUGCGUUAUGAAUACUCACAAGCAUGCCUAAUAUGAGCUUUAUAACUAUCUUGUAUGUUUAGAGAGCAAGCAUGAUAGACUUUAUGGUUUCAUGACCUUGAAUGGCCUUGAAUUGUUGAAAUGAUCGAACUUAGAACCAUGUUAUAAAAGAAGGAACCUAGAUUGCUCUAAGAAGCAUGUGAAAGCCUUUAACAUGACAAAAUAUGAUUGUGUAUUCAAGCCGAACAAAAACCACAAGGCAGUAGCUAAGUCUUGGCUUGGCCAGAGGACGGCGCAGCUGCGCCGGUCCUAGGCUUAGCCAUGGCGCAACUGUGCCAGUCUGAAAUCCCAGAUAGUGAGUUCUGAUUUUGGGAUAACUAAUUUGUGUGAUGCCUAUAUUACUAAACAAUAGUUAGAACCUACUGAUACACGUAUAUAUGUGAUGAUUAAGUGAGAUGAUGGAAUUUGUCUCGAAAUAGGAAGGUCCAUGGAUAAAAUGACUUAACCUUAUGAUUUCUUAGUUUACUUAUGAAAUAACUAGGUAUUUGAUUCAUGAUGAAUCUAUAAUCUGAUUUUAUACCAUAUGUGCAUACUUGAAUCAUGUCAAGCUUGAUUAAUGACUGUGUUAGCUAAUGAACAUCUUGAACAUAUAAUGCGCUAUAAAUAGGAUUCGAAAGUGUUGAUUUCUUAACGUGGAUAAACUACGCUUAAGGCAAGUUUCAUAAACUUACUCCAAUUAUUAUUGAGCAAGUAUCCGGACCCUACUUGUAAGACCCCAAAUUUUUAUAAAUGAAAUUUAUUUUCCUCUAUUUAUUAUUUUGAAAUAGUAAGGGUUGAUUUGAUUAAUGUGGAUAGUUAUGGGUAAAAUACGCAAAUAUUUCGAAUAAGCAAGUGGUUAUAAAAUAUUCAUUAUUGUCGGGGAAUAUUCGUUUGGUCGUGGAAUAUUCGUACUGUCGGGGAAUAUUCGUACGACGGCGCAGUCUUUUGUGGGCCCCAUAACGGAAAGCGAUUGGAUGAAGAAAACGACAAAUAUAAGUUGUUUAUAAAUAACGGCGUAGUUGUUACCGUUAAUACUGUUGGAAUACCCGGUGGUUAAAACACACUAAUACGCGUUGUUGAACAGUAGCACACGGUAUUGCACCAAUUAUUGAUUCUUACGUAAGAAGGCACUACUCAAUAAUUGUUACAGUAAUUACUGUUCAGUAUUUUAUUUUAUUGAUUCAAUAAUUGCUGCAUUGAUAUUUUAUAUUACUGUUGUUUCAAUAAAUUGUCAUUACACAGUAUUUUCCAUUAUCGGAGCAAUAAUUCAUAUUAUCUGAAUAAUAUUAUUGGAUAACAUUAUUGGCAAUGUCUAGAAAGUUCUGUCUAAGGAGAGGUUUGGUCACCUAAUUGCGCGCCAGUAAGGAGAGAUCCUUAUUGGAAAGCCCCCUCUUUCCUGGGAACGGCCUGGUUGCCAGUACUGUGAUUCUGUAAUAUUAUUUGUGAAUAAUUAAUUAUUGAUUUAUAUGAUGAGGAAAAUAUUGAUUUUAUGUGGAUAUAGAUGGAGAAAAUUUUUAAUGUGACAAUUGUUGAAAAUUAAUAUUUUAUCUUUUUCUGAUAAAAUAAUUCAUUUAAAUAUAUUAUUUUAAUAAUAUAUUAACGGUGAUAUUUUUAUAAUGAAUGUGGGAUAUAUGAGUAUAUGAGGAGGAAGAGUAUUUUUGUGGCAUUAAAUGUUUAACACAUAUUUUGUGUGUUGGUGGACACAAUUAUUGACCGAAAUUUGAUUAUAGCCUGUAAAAUCGCCCGUUUGUGGAUUUCGGUCAAUUUCUGUUUGGAAUUUGGAAAAACUUUCUUCUGCAAAGUUGUAGAGAAUUGAAUUUCCUAUAAAAAUUCGCGAGAUUCGAAUUUUCUGAUAAAAGGGCUAUUUAUUAUGAAUUAUUGAAGUUCCGAAGUUCCGAAAUAAUUGAUUUUUGGAAGUUUAAAAUAUUUUUAAUUACAAAAACGUUUUUUUCAUUUUUGAAACUCAUUUAACAUGUGAUUAGGAGGCUGAAUUCAGAUUGUUAGUGUGCGUAUGAAGUUGUGGAAAAAUUAUAAUAUUAAUUUAUUAAAUUUUCUACUUUGGUGUUCUAAGCAUUUUCCUAUAAAUAGGGUGCUUAGGUUAGAAUUGAAAAUCACACCAGAAACUGAAGUUUUCUCUCUCUAUAUUAUCGAGCGUAUUCUUGUGAGUAUUUUGAGUAUACUUUGAGUAUUGCUAUACGGUGCAAGUUCAAGUCAUAGCCUAUAUCCGGUGUUUCAACUAGAAGUACUGUCUUUCGAGGUAAGGGAUGUUAUUUUAUUCGAAAAUGAUAUUAUUUCUUCAAUAUCAUUAUGCCGAAAUAUUGGUUGGAAAUUUUUAUCAAAUUUGGAACUUUUUCAUGUCGGGGUUACUAUUCAUGAGUUACUAUUCACGAGUUACUAUUCAUGAGUUACUAUUCACGAGUUACUAUUCACGAGUACUAUUCACGAAGCGUGAAGAUGUUUUUUGUGAAAUUUCUAUCUUUUGGUGUCGGAGUUACUAUUCACGUAUACGGCACUAUUCACGUAUACGGCACUAUUCACGAAUACGGCACUAUUCACCGAAAAAUGAAAUUUCUUCUUUUUGUCCAAAAUAUCUAUUAUGGAUACUAGCUUUGAUUGUAUCCAUGUUUUGAUCAUUCUUGAAUUUUACACCACUAUGAUUAUUUUUGAGGUAUUUUUGGACGUGGAUAAAACAAAGUACGAAUCCUUAAUCCUUAAUCCUUGUCAUUUUGUUUCACUGGAUUCGUUUCUUUAAAAAAAAUUUUUCAUCAUCCUCAGUCUUAAAUGAUGAUAUUAUUGAAUAUCUUUGGCCUGUAGUGCAAAGAUGAAUGAUUUCUGAUGAAUAUCUUUGGCCCGUAGUGCAAAGAUGAACAGGUGUUUAGAUGAACAUGACCAACUGAUGAAUAUCUUUGGCCUGUAGUGCAAAGAUGAAUAUUUGAUUCCAGAUAUAUAUUGAUUGAUGUUACAGGGAUAAAAGAUAGACGAUGAACUUUUAAAUUCAUACAUAGAAGAUAGUAGUUUGCAUUCUCUACUUAACUCUUCUAAUGAAUUAUUAUUUCCGCUGCGAAUAUUGAUUUAAAACUUGUUGUCUAUUGUAUUCUAUUAGAUUUUUCCCUGUUGAAGACUAACGAUAAUUUGUUGUAUAUUAUCUUAGUCAUAAUAUUCUUUACUGGGCUAGUUGAGCUCACCCUUUUCCUUUUUGUUCCAUUUUUCUUCUCAGGAGGCGAGAAUAUAGCGAGUACGAGUCGGGGUAUGGAAUGAAGGUUCUAGAGAGAGUUGUUUAGUAGUCCUCAC